ACAAUGACUACUAAUAAGGUUGAGGUAGAAAUUGAGUUGAAAGCCUCUCCAGAAAAGCUAUGGAAAAACAUAAAAGAAUUCGUCACACUCUUGCCCAAAGCCAUGCCCGAUGUAAUCGAAAGGGUCGAUGUGAUCGAGGGCGAUGGAAGAUCGGUCGGAACAUCUUUGUGGCUACUUCGAAGCCCACGGAGAUGAGCCCCAUGGGUUCGAUCACCAAUGAGAGGAUUGAAAUUGUGGACGACGAGAAGAAGAUAUGGGGUUAAAGUAUUCUGGAAGGCUUGGAAUUUUCAAAAAAUUACAAGGCGGUAAUAUAUGUUGGCAGCAGCCCUAAAAGUGAUGGUGCUUUGGUUAAAUAUACAGCUGAGUUUAACAAGGCAAAUGAAAAUGUCAUUGUUGAUCUUGAUAUCUACAAGGCUUUUGUUAUUAAAGUUUACAUGGCUGUUGAUGCUUAUCUUCUCAAGGUAUGAUUUAUUAAGCAUCUAUUGUUGAUAUAUAGUUUAUGUUGGUAUUUUUUU